rnacentral:rRNA from 1 species
UACGGGGGGGGCAAGCGUUGUUCGGAAUUACUGGGCGUAAAGGGCUCGUAGGCGGCCAACUAAGUCAGACGUGAAAUCCCUCAGCUUAACUGGGGAACUGCGUCUGAUACUAGAUGGCUUGAGUGCAGGAGAGGAACGCGGAAUUCCAGGUGUAGCGGUGAAAUGCGUAGAUAUCUGGAGGAACACCGGUGGCGAAGGCGGCGUUCUGGACUGCAACUGACACUGAGGAACGAAAGCCAGGGGAGCAAACGGG